UACGUAGGUGACAAGCGUUGUCCGGAUUUACUGGGCGUAAAGAGCGCGCAGGCGGUCGAUCAAGUCGAGUGUGAAAGCCCCCGGCUCAACUGGGGAGGGUCAUUCGAUACUGAUCGACUCGAAGGCAGGAGAGGGUAGUGGAAUUCCCGGUGUAGUGGUGAAAUGCGUAGAGAUCCGGAGGAACCCCAGAGGCGAAGGCGGCGUCCUGGCUCACAACUGACGCUCAUACACGACAGCAUGGGGAGCGAACGGG
rnacentral:rRNA from 1 species